AGAACGAACGCUGGCGGCGCGUUUAAGCAUGCAAGUCGAGCGGCAAGGGCCUUCGGGCCCUAGAGCGGCGGACGGGUGAGUAACACGUGGACAAUCUGCCCCCCGGCCCGGGAUAGCCCAGGGAAACCUGGAUUAAUACCGGAUGAGACGGGACCUGCGAUGGCGGGAUCCGGGAAAGGCGCUGCGGCGCCGCCGGGGGAUGAGUCUGCGUCCCAUUAGCUAGACGGCGGGGUAACGGCCCACCGUGGCGACGAUGGGUAGCCGGCCUGAGAGGGUGGACGGCCACAUUGGAACUGAGACACGGUCCAGACUCCUACGGGAGGCAGCAGCUAAGAAUCUUCCGCAAUGGGCGAAAGCCUGACGGAGCCGACGCCGCGUGAACGAAGAAGGCCGUGAGGUUGUAAAGUUCUUUUCGGGAGGGGGAACAACCGUGGCAGGGAAUGGCCGCGGGAUGACGUGAAUCCCGGAAUAAGCCCCGGCUAACUACGUGCCAGCCGCCGC
rnacentral:rRNA from 1 species